rnacentral:rRNA from 1 species
CAGCAGUGGGGAAUAUUGCACAAUGGGCGCAAGCCUGAUGCAGCCAUGCCGCGUGUAUGAAGAAGGCCUUCGGGUUGUAAAGUACUUUCAGCAGUGAGGAAGGCGGAGUCGUUAAUAGCGGCCUCGUUUGACGUUAGCUGCAGAAGAAGCACCGGCUAACUCCGUGCCAGCAGCCGCGGUAAUACGGAGGGUGCGAGCGUUAAUCGGAAUUACUGGGCGUAAAGCGCAUGCAGGUGGUUUGUUAAGUCAGAUGUGAAAGCCCCGGGGCUCAACCUCGGAAUUGCAUUUGAAACUGGCAGACUAGAGUACUGUAGAGGGGGUAGAAUUUCAGGUGUAGCGGUGAAAUGCGUAGAGAUCUGAAGGAAUACCGGUGGCGAAGGCGGCCCCCUGGACAGAUACUGACACUCAGAUGCGAAAGCGUGGGGAGCAAACAGGAUUAGAUACCCUGGUAG